rnacentral:lncRNA from 1 species
CAAAUUUCAAAAGUUUUUAUCAAAUAGUUCAUAUUAAUAUCGCCUUUGGUUAUGACACUUCCCAGUUAUGUUUUUGAUUUCAGAAGGAAUGGCAUUUAGGAAUAUCCCUUCAUGCCUGAAGCAGCCUUCAUGCAACUGCUGUGACACCAACAUCAUUUUGGACAAAUGGGUGCUUUCUUUCUCUUUGCUUUGCUAGAUUCUCUUCUCUUUUUUAAGUGAUGGUCACAUGCGGUUGGGUGUUUGCACUUUGCAAAUCACUGACAUCAAAUGAGCUAGAUUUGGCAUGAGUUAAAUUAGAAAUUUAAAAAGCAAGGUUACCUAAGCAUUUCUUCAGAACACUGCAUAAUCUCUGGAAGCAGUGGGUUCAGUGUUCUCUAACUCCCUGCCUCUGGGUGCUGGAUACAGCACACCUACAGCAAUCAUGAGGGUUGAGGAGUUUUACGUAGCAGCAGCCGAGGAACGCUUGAAGUCCAUGAGACAGAUCAAUAAAGGUUGAAGUAACAUCCAACUAGGUCUAGAACACUUUUAAAAAGUAAUCUCAAUUACUGUGGUCCCUGAAAUUUUGCCUACAUCGGUAAAGUCAUUCAUUUUCUUAUUUUUACUUUUUGAACCCUGAAAUGAUAUUGUUUUAUGUAGUAUUUCCUGAGUUUAUUUUCCUCAUACCACAGUAACUGUUCCAACUCCUUCUUGCCUUUUUAAUGGACAUAGUUGUUAAUUUAGCAAACUGCAAUGCGUUUUUCGAUUUUGGGAGAAGGACUUUAUAUACUAAAGGAAAGUCACAUAUAACGUAUUUCUCAAUUUUGGAAUUUUAUGUGAAUGACAUGAGAAGCUAUAGUCCUACGAGACACCUAAGAGACUUUUUCACAAAGCAAUAAUAUGACCAUUAAAAGCUUACCAUCCUUCUUUUCCUAAUAAGAAUUCAGCUAUAUUUUUCUUUGCAGUUCUAAGGAAUUUAGGAAUAUAUAUAUUCUGUAGACAGAGCAGUCCUCGUACGACUAGAGGUCCAGAUACUGUAUUAGACAGAUGGGUCCUUCUACUGUAGGCUUCUUCAUGACUAGUUAGUACACAUCUCAAAUGUGUCUGCAAGUCUGGAUUGUAUUCUCAAAAAAGAAGAGGUUCCACUGAAAAGCAAAUGAUCGAUACUGUUUAUCCUUGGAGUCCUGUUCUGCUUCCUCUCAUUGAGUCAUUGGCUCUCUUUGCUCCUUUACUUCGAGGAGUUGCGGGGAGAGGGCCAUGUAAUACAACUACCUGCCUCUGACUGCAAGACCUCUUGUGGAAUAUUACGUUUCUAGAUCCUAAAGCACUCGUCAGUUGGAACUAAGAAGCAGACUAUGAAAGGGUUUCAAAUGUGUGUCCUCUUUUUAAGCGUUGCACUCUCAUUUUCAGUGAAUUGGUGUGUUCUUCUCCUUUUUCUGCACAUGCGAUUGAACCAAAAAAGGGCAGGUCAAUAAUAGGCUUUCAACUUUUCCUGCUUGUGGUUUCAUUUGUUUCUGGCUUCUUUGGGUAGCUUAUCAAUCAAAAAUGCCAUGUGUUUCUAUCUAUACCUGGACACUGUUUAAUCUGCUUCCUGCAGCUCCUUACCUCCCGGUAACCAUCUUCCUCAGCUCUAAAACGCACAUACUAUGACCUGAUUUUCUCUUAUUCUCUUCGUUCACCAGACAGUGUUUGCCGUCAUCACGUGUUGUUCAGUUUCCCCCUUUAUGACCUCUUUCAUCUGUCUUGUCCUCAUAAUCAACUUGGUCAAAUAGAUUAUUACCAAUACAAUUGAUGGGCUGGGUAUUUUUGAAGGUUGUGAUGUAUGCAUUUUCUUCCAAGACAAAGGCAGGCCAUUUGCUUUACAACCUUCCCUUCUGCCAUUUGAUAUCACAAUUCUCUUCCUUUCCACUCAAGUUAGCCAAAUAUCUUAUUAAAGCUGGCCAGUCAAAGCGUGAAAGUCUAAAUCACAUAAAAAGGGAUCAAUCAGUCUUUUAGAAGCCCGUCAUCAUCAUGUCUACUGUUUCUGAUUUUUACUCAUUCACUAAAUCAUCUCCCUUUCUGCCUCUCUUCACUGUUGUGGACUAUUCCCCAAAUAAACAUGAGUUCUCAGCCAGUGUUGGUGUGUUGGUGUAUUGGUGUGUUGGUGUGUGUGUUUGCAAGCAGUCUGUGUGUGUGUGUGUGUGUGUGUGUGUGUGUGUGUGUGUGUGUGUGUGUUUAUCAGCAUCCUGAUAUGUUUAAAGGCACUUGAGUUUUCUGCAUGAUAUUUCCCAACAUAUUUACGCUGACUUUUCCAUUUUGUCUUUCAGAAGGACCACAGAACUUAGAUCAAGUCCAGAAAGAAAUGGCUAGGAUGAUGGCUCUGUUCAAGGAUGAUUGGAGGAGAGAACAGUUGCAGAAUGAAGGACUUCAGGAAAAAUAUGGUAAAGCCUCUUUUAUAUCCCCUCACCACCCAAACAUUGUAGAACACCUGCGUUCGUGGUGUUGUAAAGAUAUCCCAGCUUUUAGCCAACGUGUCACCACUGGCUUGCCCUCUCCCAGAUCUCUGCUAUUCUGGCACAAUUUUGCAGUUAGGGACUCUCCCAUAUUCCUCCCUUCUCUGCUCUUGCAAAGCCUGUAUGUUCCAAUAUAGUCUGUGGGUCAAGUGUAAACUCGAGGGGCAUCCCUGCACUGACUCUGAGCACAUGACCCAAGUGUCCCCAGGUAUUCGUAGACUUCCCAUUGUUUUACCUAGGAAUUUUUUAUUUAGAACCAAUGAGAGUAAUUUUCAUUCUUUCCUUUUUACUUCAUUGACACAGCUGUCAAUUUUGCAAACUCCAACUACUUCAAAUAUUUGUAGAAGGAUUUCAUAGCUUAAGGAAAGAUCAAUAAUAAUAAUCAUAAUACAUUUCUGAUUUCUAAGUUUUCAUGCGAAUGACACAAGGAACUACUGUCCUACAAUGUUCCCAGAAGGCUUUUCAUAAAACGCAAACGUAGUCUUUAGAAGUUUAAUAUCCUGUUUUCCUAAUGACAUUUUUGUCAGUGCACUUUAGUUUUCAGAGGGAAUCAAAUUCACCUCUCAAUGCAUGUAGCUGGCUU